GGUUGAAUGGUCUAAUGGUUAUGAUUUCUGUCUCACAUCUUGAGAUUGUGGAUUUCACAGAAGGUUCUGAGUUCGAUCCUCAGUUCAACCA